rnacentral:misc_RNA from 1 species
AAGACUAUAGACCUGCGGAGUACCUGCGGAAGGAUCAUUACCGAGUUAGGGUAGUCACUCACUGCCCGACCUCCCAACCCUGUGUCUACCACACUUUGUCGUUGCUUCGGCGGACCGGUUGACCAACUGGUCGUGACCGCCGGGGGCUGGCUCUGUCCCCCCUGGAGAGCGUCCGUCGAUGGCCCAACCACAAAACUCUUGUACCGAAACGUGUCGUCUGAAUUAUAUUUGGGAAAUCAA